GGAGGUAUAGCUCAGUGGUAGAGCAUCCGACUGCAGAUCGGGCGGUCCCGAGUUCAACUCUCGGUGCCUCCU